rnacentral:snoRNA from 1 species
CCUGGAUCCAGAGGGACAGGCACAAGUCAUAGCCAAUAAUAAAAUAAUAGUUUCUGGUGUGUCACUUGUGUGUCAGCAGGUGGCAGAGAGGAAAGAGGCUAGGUCUAUACUAGGUCUACACUAGGUCUGCACUCAGUGUUCUGAGCUUUGAACAUCUGAAUGAUUAGUAGCCUAACAUU